ensembl:lncRNA
CGUCACCUGAAAAUGACCAAUAGCGCGGCACGCUGCUGAGCUGUGUGCCAACCGCUCUUUUUUUCAUGCAGGAGACUCAAGUUGGCUUCGCUAACGGACACAGUUUUGAACUCGUAUAUUAGCGCCAUUUAUUGCUGCUUGGACCACAGCAUCUUCGGAAUUUGUAGACAUCCUGGCAGCUUACAAUUAGUUCGAGGUGAGGUUUAAGGGUGGUGGCACAGCUAAGACCCAAGAGUCUCUUUCAAGACACUGAAUUUGAGCAGAAACCAUAAGGAUACUCAAAGGACCUGUGACUCUCAGGAAAUGCAUCAAAUGAGAGGGACAGAUGAAACAGUUUCAAGACAAUGGCAGGAAAAACAUGCUGAAGAUUGAAACAAACCUUGGCUGGAAAUAUUUGAAGGUAUCUAGCCAGUCCACAAUGAAAGCUUCGUUGCACCCCAUGAGUCUUCUGGCAGAAAUGAUGGCACCUGUAUUCUUUGGUUUCUCUAAACAUCACACCCUGCCUGUUUAUACGAGGCUCUUCAAUUAAGUCUGCACCCAAAGAUUCAAUAAGAGGUAAGCAGUGGUAUUAUUCAAGUUUUGCUAAAGAAAGAUGGACAGGAGACACUAAUCUUAAUCAGCCGAGCUCAGGUUCAUGUCCAGGUGAGCAGUUUCAUACGCUAUAAAAUGUAGAUUGAAUGAUAGGUCUCAUCACCAUGCAUUCAGCCAUUAACUUCAAGUUCUAUGAUAAAUCAAUAGGAAACUUAAAUACGUUUUCCAACAAAUUAUGAUUGUGAUUAGGGCUGCGUUGUCUAUGUAUCACUUUUACAUAAGUAGCAGGGCUCUAGAGUGCGAC